CCUACGGGUGGCAGCAGUGAGGAAUAUUGGUCAAUGGACGAGAGCCUGAACCAGCCAUGUAGCGUGAAGGAUGACUGCCCUAUGGGUUGUAAACUUCUUUUAUAUGGGAAUAAAAUGUUCCACGUGUGGGAUUUUGUAUGUACAAUAUGAAUAAGGAUCGGCUAACUCCGUGCCAGCAGGCGCGGUAAUACGGAGGAUCCGAGCGUUAUCCGGAUUUAUUGGGGUUAAAGGGAGCGUAGGUGGAUUGUUAAGUCAGUUGUGAAAGGUUGCGGCUCAACCGUAAAAUUGCAGUGGAAACUGGCAGUCUUGAGUACAGUAGAGGUGGGCGGAAUGCGUGGUGUAGCGGUGAAAUGCUUAGAUAACACGAAGAACUCCGAUUGCGAAGGCAGCUCACUGGACUUCAACUGACGCUGAGGCUCGAAAGUGUGGGUAUCAAACAGGAUUAGAUACCCCUGUAGUC
rnacentral:rRNA from 1 species